rnacentral:rRNA from 1 species
GACGAACGCUGGCGGCGUGCUUAACACAUGCAAGUCGAGCGGUAAGGCCCUUUCGGGGGUACACGAGCGGCGAACGGGUGAGUAACACGUGGGUGACCUGCCCUCAGCUCUGGGAUAAGCCUGGGAAACCGGGUCUAAUACUGGAUAUGACUCCAUGACGCAUGUUGUGGGGUGGAAAGCCUUGUGCGGCUGAGGAUGGGCCCGCGGCCUAUCAGCUUGUUGGUGGGGUGANGGCCUACCAAGGCGACGACGGGUAGCCGGCCUGAGAGGGCGACCGGUCACACUGGGACUGAGACACGGCCCAGACUCCUACGGGAGGCAGCAGUGGGGAAUCUUGCGCAAUGGGCGAAAGCCUGACGCAGCGACGCCGCGUGAGGGAUGACGGCCUGGUU